CAGAAAGAUUAAAAAGUUGAUUGGAAUAACAAUUUUUAAAGCUCUAGACUUGGUCCCUUAUAUUCACCUUAUUAUUCACCUUAUAUUCACCAAUGACUCCAGCAAGCUGACAGGUAGUAAGUGUGUGAAGUGCAAGUGCAGAGGAGCACUCCAGGUAAAUCUAUGAUCCAUCAUCCCAAGGCUUUCCUUACCUGACCUUGCAUUUUUGUAAGCUCACUGCCAUGUGGAUAACUACAGACACCAACAUAUGCUGGAACAAGAGCUCUAGAGUGAAGAAGAAUUGUGUGUACUGUGCCAGGGAGAUUAUGGCAACACCACAGGCAUGAAAAUAUGUAAAGGAUGCACAGUUGUGUCCUUGUUUGUCCUUUUUAUUUUGGCCAGAAAAGCCACCGUGACUUGAAAAAUAUUUCAAUGAGGAGUUACCAAGACCGGAAUUUCUUGUAAAAACAGUCAAUUUCUACAAAUGGACAUUUCCAAGAAUAAAUACUUUGUUGAAGUAUUCUUGACCAGCUUUACUAAGAUUCUGAGAUGCUAUACUGGUAACUCCUUCUCAUCUCUGCUACAAGUAAGGUUGGACCUCACUUUCUUCACAUAAAAAAAAGGGCAAUUGAACAAGAGUAUGAUGAGAUGUAUUAAACCAUGUAUUAUCUGAAUAUAGCAUGUAGGGUAAAUUCAUCAUUAUAUCUCAGAAAGCCAGAACUAGAAAGCAACCAAUGGCAGACCAAGGUUUGCAUGAAGAGAAACUGCAUCUUUGAUCAAAACAACAUGAAUAGUUGGUAAAAUUGUCAUGUUUAUAUCUAUGGUCUAUCUAUUAUAAAGAUAAUGUACAACUACAUAUAACAGUGAAAUUAGCUGGCAACUAAUUAAAAACAAGCAAGCAAAAAAACCCUUGAAAAUAAAAG
ensembl:lncRNA